CGGGAUAUAGCUCAGCUUGGUCAGAGCGCUGCAUUUGGGAUGCAGAAGUCGUCAGUUCGAAUCUGACUAUCCCGAC
rnacentral:tRNA from 5 species